CGAUCGGCUCGGAUCGGCUCGGAUCGGAUCGACUGCCCCCGCGCGCCACGCACGGCCGAGUCCGUGGGAGGCGGAGAGGGGCGGGACCCUCCGCAAAGGCUCCGCCGCUCCACGGCCGGGCCGCGCAGGCGCGGGAGGAGCAUGGGCAGGGAGCGAAAGGGUCCUUGUCCGGGUCCCCGUCCCGAUCCCGAUCCCGAUCCCAGUGCUGGGGCCCUUGUUUCUGAGGCACUUACUGAGAGUACGCAAAUUUGUGUGGAUGCAAUGCUAGGAAUGACAUUUUGAGAUUUGUAGCUAAAAAUCUUCCGAGCAACACUUAGGUUGGAGACCUUUGCAGUCCAGCCUUUCCUUACAGACCGCUGCAAGGGGCAUCAAUACGAGACGUGUCUGGUGCAGCUGUAAAAAAAGCACUGCCUGAGGAGCAGCCGCAGCCCAAGCCCUGCAUGAAACAUUGUAGCACGCUGUGCCCUGGAGAACUUACAGCCUGACACGCGUUGCAGGCGCAGGAUGUCAGAAAGGCUCUGGCACUCAUGAAGAGUAAGUUACGUGAUGCUGGCGAGUGAUGUUUAAAGCCGUGAUUCCAGGAUGAGGAGGAGGCUUGGAUGAUAGGGAUGGAAAGGUAGAACCAGAAGGGGUUGAGGAGGGGAAUUUGACAAGAGUGGCAGAGAAGGCAAAAAGGGACAGAUUACAGAAUCACAGCAUCACAGAAUGGUUUGGGUUGGAAGGGAUUUGAAAGACCAUCUAGUUCCACCCCCCUGCUAUGGGAAGGGGACACCCUCCAGUAGACCAAGUUGCUUAAAGCCCUGUCCAACUUGAUGAAGUCAAAGGAGAAGGAAGGGAUCCUUUAGGAUAAUUUAUAUGAGGUAAGGAGCAGCAGCCUCUCAGUCUUGCAGCCAUCACUCAGGUACUGUGCUUAUGCUGCAUACAGUACAUAGCAUAUUGCUUUUGUCUCCCAAAUGGCAGAACAUGGUUUAGUUAUGUCUGCAUUCAACAUCCUGUGAGCAUAUACUGAUGGCUAGCAUGCACUCAGAGGAGGUGCUCAUUUGUCACCACACACUGAACAAGGGGCAGAUAUUCAAGGACAAAGAUCCUGCCUGUUCUACCAAGGCAAUGCUACAAGCAAAACAUCAGCAUCAGACCUGAAGCAAAACCUGAGUUCCAAACACUUCUAAAUGUUAGGUGAGAUGAACCCUAUGUCCAACUGGAAUAGCAAAACAUUCCUUGGAUGUGAAAAACUGCAAAACAAGAGGGCUGUCUGGAGUAAAAUCUGAUCUGUUUUCUGGCCCUGUCCUGAGGGUGGAAAAGCAACUUGGCCAGCUCUGCCUGAAUAUUUGACAAACACUAUUCAACAGACUACGAAGUAUUUCCAGCAUCUUCAAAACACACAACCACAGCAGCACUUUGUAUGCUCCUCACCUUCGUUUUUACAUUUUCCCUUCAGGUUCUGAGUUUUAUGUUAUUAAAUUUUAGUGUAAAACAUUGUAAUAAAUAAUAAGGAGCAACA